GAUGAAGAACGUAGCGAAAUGCGAUAAGUAAUGUGAAUUGCAGAAUUCAGUGAAUCAUCGAAUCUUUGAACGCACAUUGCGCCCCUUGGUAUUCCGAGGGGCAUGCCUGUUCGAGCGUCAUUAUAACCCCUCAAGCUCAGCUUGGUGUUGGGGCCUGCUGCACUGGCAGCCCUUAAAAUCAGUGGCGGCGCCAUCUGGCUCUAAGCGUAGUAAUUCUUCUCGCUAUGGAGUCCUGGUGGAUGCUUGCCAUCAACCCCCAAUUUUUCUAUGGUUGACCUCGGAUCAGGUAGGGAUACCCGCUGAACUUAAGCAUAUCAAUAAGCGGGGA
rnacentral:misc_RNA from 1 species